GAUAGCGUGGCCGAGCGGUCUAAGGCGCUGGUUUAAGGCACCAGUUUCUCCGGAGGCGUGGGUUCGAAUCCCACCGCUGCCA
rnacentral:tRNA from 1 species